CUUCCAGUAGCACCUUAGAGACCUACUAAGUUAGUUAUUGGUAUGAGCUUUCGUGUGCAUGCACACUUUAUGAACGUUCAUACCAAUAACUAACUUAGUUGGUUUCUAAGGUGCUACUGGAAA